UACAGGGGGCUCGAGCGUUAGUCGGAAUCACUGGGCUUAAAGGGUGCGUAGGUGGCUCGUCAAGUGUUUUGUGAAAUCCCACAGCUCAACUGUGGAACAGCAGGGCAAACUGGCGAGCUUGAGGCAGGUAGGGGCCGGAAGAACAGUAGGUGGAGCGGUGAAAUGCGUAGAUAUCGAGAGGAACACCUGCGGCGAAGGCGGGUUGCUGGGCUGAUACUGACGCUGAGGCGCGAAAGCCAGGGAGCGAACGGG
rnacentral:rRNA from 1 species